GGGGUAGCUUAUUGGUUUCGACAAGCUAGUCUUAUGAUAGAUGUUUGCAAGUAGUCCGAUAUGACUUAAAACUGUCAAAUUAAAAUUAAAUGACAAAAAUGAAAGCUCUUUCGGAGCAUUCACUCCUGUAUUUGCCUAAUUAAAGGUUGGGAGUUCUCUAUCUUAGGUUCACCUAUAGCUUAAGAAUAGGGAUCAUAUUUAUAGGUUAUAUAUUAUAAUUGAUUAGGUUAUAAUACGAAUCUUACUAAUCUUAGUUAAAGAGUAGGUGUGUGAUAGCCGGCGCUUUAAUGAAAUAAUAAUUAUCACUAAACUUGUAGAUGAUGUCUAAUCAUAUAGUUUGGACAGGAGUUCGAUUCUCCUCUACUCCACCA
rnacentral:tmRNA from 1 species